CACUCCGCCUGUUUGUGCUCGGCUCAGUCCCGAACCGCUACUUUCCACCCAGCUGGACUGAGGCAGGCCAGGCCGGGGACAAGACCUGUUGCACGUAGACUACCAGAUGGACGACUUCCUUAUCUUCGGGAUGGAGGUGUUCAAGCAGAAGGACUGAGGUGUGGUGGAGGUCUUGGCGUCAGCGGGACACAUGGGCAUGCUGUCAUGGCAAGUGCAGGUGCAGGACCGUUAUGGGACUGUGGUGCGGGACGAUGACCAGUAGAGGGGCUUCAACAUGGACACAUGGACACGACAUAUGCCUGGAGGUAAUUUCCAACAUGAUGACAGCAAGCAUAUCUUCGACAGGAUCAACACUGACCCGACCCUGAGCUGUGAGGACACUGUUGUCACAUGUUUUACUCGAUUGUUGAAGGAAUGCAGUUAUAAAAGUCUGGGUCCAAACAGAUUUCACUGGUGGUGAAGUCACAAAGCAGGGAAAGUUGACGACGGGGUGUGUGCUGCUCCUUCUCCAUGGAGAUUGGUCCAUCUGCCGACUUCCUCCUCUGAUCCAAGGGUCUUCUCGCCUGACAGGAUGCUGCUUCGCUGCUGCUGCAGGGCCAAGACUGCUCUAACCUCCGAGCUACCUUCAGCACCCACCAAACAGAGACAUCGUAAUCAUGCUGAACCACUGACUCUGGUGGUGUCCUUCUGGAUGACUGUUUCCAAAAGGUAAGGCCUAAUUGAGAACCCAAGACCAGACAAACCUUAGUGGCUUGAAGAAUACACCGUAUGGGAAUGGCUCGGACAUGAGGUGGAACAGAGCAACAUUUAAGACCUGUCAGUUUCUCUGCAGGAAACCCAAUCGUACUUUGUGUUGUGACAGUGCUGCACUUCCAAGCACAAUAUCCAAAAAAAUAAAAAAUAAAAAAAGGAAUGCAUUUGAAUUCAUAACCAAGGAGUGAGUAGGCUGCAUUAUAUAUCUAUCUAAGGUAUUAUGGAUUCAUAUUUGGGUCGUUUGGCUCAUUUCUCCUGUGGAUCACAUGCUAAAGUUGGUUUGUU